GGGGAAUUUUCCGCAAUGGGCGAAAGCCUGACGGAGCAACGCCGCGUGAGGGAAGAAGGCCUCUGGGCUGUAAACCUCUUUUCUCAAGGAAGAAGAUCUGACGGUACUUGAGGAAUAAGCCACGGNCUAAUUCCGUGCCAGCAGCCGCGGUAAUACGGGAGUGGCAAGCGUUAUCCGGAAUUAUUGGGCGUAAAGCGUCCGCAGGCGGCCUUUCAAGUCUGCUGUUAAAGCGUGGAGCUUAACUCCAUUAAGGCAGUGGAAACUGUUGGGCUUGAGUGUGGUAGGGGCAGAGGGAAUUCCCGGUGUAGCGGUGAAAUGCGUAUAUAUCGGGAAGAACACCAGUGGCGAAGGCGCUCUGCUGGGCCAUAACUGACGCUCAUGGACGAAAGCCAGGGGGAGCGAAAGGGAUUAGAUACCCCUGUAGUC
rnacentral:rRNA from 1 species